rnacentral:rRNA from 1 species
GUGUCGUGAGAUGUUGGGUUAAGUCCCGCAACGAGCGCAACCCUUGUCCUUAGUUGCCAUCAUUCAGUUGGGCACUCUAAGGAGACCGCCGGUGACAAACCGGAGGAAGGUGGGGAUGACGUCAAGUCAUCAUGGCCUUUAUGACCAGGGCUACACACGUGCUACAAUGGUAGAUACAGAGGGAAGCCAACGCGCGAGCGGGAGCCAAUCCCAGAAAAUCUAUCGUAGUCCGGAUUGGAGUCUGCAACUCGACUCCAUGAAGUCGGAAUCGCUAGUAAUCGCAGAUCAGCAUUGCUGCGGUGAAUACGUUCCCGGGU